rnacentral:rRNA from 1 species
AUUGAACGCUGGCGGCAGGCUUAACACAUGCAAGUCGAGCGGGGUGAUGGUGCUUGCACUAUCACUUAGCGGCGGACGGGUGAGUAAUGCUUAGGAAUCUGCCUAUUAGUGGGGGACAACAUUUCGAAAGGAAUGCUAAUACCGCAUACGUCCUACGGGAGAAAGCAGGGGAUCUUCGGACCUUGCGCUAAUAGAUGAGCCUAAGUCGGAUUAGCUAGUUGGUGGGGUAAAGGCCUACCAAGGCGACGAUCUGUAGCGGGUCUGAGAGGAUGAUCCGCCACACUGGGACUGAGACGCGGCCCAGACUCCUACGGGAGGCAGCAGUGGGGAAUAUUGGACAAUGGGCGCAAGCCUGAUCCAGCCAUGCCGCGUGUGUGAAGAAGGCCUUAUGGUUGUAAAGCACUUUAAGCGAGGAGGAGGCUACUUUAGAUAAUACCUAGAGAUAGUGGACGUUACUCGCAGAAUAAGCACCGGCUAACUCUGUGCCAGCAGCCGCAGUAAAAC